rnacentral:rRNA from 1 species
UGGUGGGGUGACUUGUCUGCUUAAUUGCGGUAACGAACGAGACCUUAACCUGCUAAAUAGCCCGCAUUGCUCCGGCAGUGCGCUGGCUUCUUAGAGGGACUUUCGGCUCAAGCCGAAGGAAGUUUGAGGCAAUAACA